CCUCUUUUGUCUCCUUUCAAGACUGAGACAAGAUUUGCAGGGCCACUGUCAGCUUUUACACUGUCCUGUUAAGACCCCUAGAGUGGCACCUACAAGUCUCCAGUCAUUGCCUACAGCUUCCAGGAACAGUGGAGCCUGGCGGACACAGCACCCGUCGUGAGACUCUCCCCCCAACAGGAGCAAUCACCUAUGGGAACUGACUUGUGCCCUUCCAGGAUCACAGGUUGGAUAAACAUCCUGAGCAAUAAGUGGAAACUGUCCCCUUAAGAGCUCCCUUGCAGAAUCAGAGCUGAAAGAAUGAGCAACCAGACCGCAGCUUGACCAAGACUGCGUAACUCUGCGGACCUCUCACCCUAAGGCUCCCCAUUGAAACCACAGACCUGUCACUGGUGACUCUGCCCUCCAGUGGGCCAUCCUGAUUAGACUUUCCUUUCCUGCUUUUCACCGUUACCUUUUCUGUUUGGCUUUUGGGAUGAGUGGCCAGACCUGGCUUAUCUUAAUGCCCAAAGGAAGGCCUCUAGCCUUGGGCUCUAGGGGAAAGAGAUGAUUAACGUGUUUACGUUCACAGUAGAGCAGAAAUCUGACUCAAAGGUGAAGGUACAGAUGGCUUAGCUGAGUGGCCUCCAAAACCAGUGAUUAUUAAAGUCAACUAAGAGCAGGUGAAGCUAGAGGGCUGAUGUAAGUCUUCCCUUGGUUACAUCACCACUAACCUGAAUCUAACAGCAUAAGUUAGUUUUGUCUAUUUUUUCAUAAGCAGAUUCAUACAGUAGAAUAUCACUGAACCGGGCCUGCUUUGCUAG
rnacentral:lncRNA from 1 species